UGUUAUCCGCCGUUUCCACUUUCUUUAAUGUUAGUCUGCAAAUAUCUCCUCUCAUCUCUUUGCCUCCCCUAUCUAUAUUGUUCAACGUAUUUCUAUCUUUCAAAAAAGUAUUUGUUUUAAUUCGCUGAUAAUUUCUAUCCACAUUAAAUCCAGUAACUAUGUCAAGCUUUGCCUUUCCUUCAUGUCAAUCUAUAUAUAGAAGAGGGUUGAGAGCAGGAUGGAUCUUCAGAACCACUCCACAACCUCCGUUCCCAACCUCUACCCUCUCUUUGCCACCUCUUCUGGCGUCCGGAUGCCGUCCCGGAAUCCACUGCUCUGUUUCGGCCGGCGGAACCACAAAACGAUCCGUGGAGAAUGUCCCUGGCAGAUCAUGGAGCUGCGAGAUAGAUUCAGUCGAGAACGCCAUCUUCAGAGAUGGCUCUCCGAUUCAGGCCUCCCGCUGCAAAAAUGGCUAUCGACAGAGUCGACAUCGGAGAAAGAAAAAUUCUUAUCUUUAACUCUAUAGGUUCGUAAUGAGAAGGAAUCUUUGGUGAGCAAUUUGGAGAGUCAAGCGAGACUAAUUAACAGCGAAGAGACGCAGCAAAAUAUGCUCUUCUCUUCUAAAGAAUAUGUUGAGCAGUUUGAAAAGGAAAACAUGCCACUGAUGAAAGCUCUAGCACACAUAAAUAAAAUUAUUGAGCUUAGCAGGGUUGAGUUUCAGAAACUAAGGAUCAACUUACGGAAUGUGCAGGAAAAGAAUUUGCAGCUUGCGCGGAGCUAAAAUCAAACAGAGACAGGGUAUGCUUUUCUGGAAUUGAAGUUGCUCAAAACGAAGCUUUCCUAUUUCAUUAUAUUACAAUUUCCUUGACCAACUGACAUAAUGUACGUUUUUAGCUCAAACUACUUCAGCAUGAACUUGGCUGCAAGAAUGUAUUACUUGAACCCAGGGCGCUUCCUCUUUGGCGCUUGCCACUGGACCACCAUGAAGUGGUUGCACUUUAGUUGUCUCUUUGAUAUGCUGUAAACUAUUUCUUAUUGGUGUAAGAAUUACAAUGACUUCUUUACUUCUUUACCAAUA